GUUGACCUCGGAUCAGGUAGGAAUAGCCGCUGAACUUAAGCAUAUCAAUAAAAAGGAGGAA
rnacentral:rRNA from 1 species